rnacentral:rRNA from 1 species
UAGGGAAUCUUCGGCAAUGGACGAAAGUCUGACCGAGCAACGCCGCGUGAGUGAAGAAGGUUUUCGGAUCGUAAAACUCUGUUGUUAGAGAAGAACAAGGACGUUAGUAACUGAACGUCCCCUGACGGUAUCUAACCAGAAAGCCACGGCUAACUACGUGCCAGCAGCCGCGGUAAUACGUAGGUGGCAAGCGGUGUCCGGAUUUAUUGGGCGUAAAGCGAGCGCAGGCGGUUUCUUAAGUCUGAUGUGAAAGCCCCCGGCUCAACCGGGGAGGGUCAUUGGAAACUGGGAGAAUUGAGUGCAGAAGAGGAGAGUGGAAUUCCAUGUGUAGCGGUGAAAUGCGUAGAUAUAUGGAGGAACACCAGUGGAGAAGGCGGCUCUCUGGUAUGUAACUGACGCUGAGGCUAGAAAGCGUGGGGAGCAAACAGG